GGGCAGCGUAACCAAACCUUACUUAAAAACACGGUUGCUUGAAUUUUCUCGCGUAUCUUAGCACAACUUCCUCCAUUUCUCUACCCUAAGCAUUCGCGUUGACGACCGAUCUACUUGCCGGAGUUUUUCCCGUCAUCUGCGAGUCAUCGAUUAUUUUAACUUCCUUUUCCCCCUAUUUGAUAAACUUUCCAGAAUUUUCUCGAGAAACAGCUUUAUAUACUAUACAAGCAAACCUACAUUGCCUCUUCGUUUUCAUCUACACCACAGAGAAAACAGUACACUGAUAGAGAAGAGAAGAGAGAGAAAAUAUGGGUGUUGGUUACUAUAAGAUACUGAAAGUGUCACGCCAUGCGAGUGAAGAAGAUUUGAAGAAAUCGUACAAGCAGAAAGAAGCUGAAGUUAAAUUCAAGCAGAUAUCUGAGGCUUAUGAUGUGCUUAGUGAUUCUCAGAAGAGGCAGAUCUAUGAUAUAUAUGGUGAUGAGGCGCUGAAAUCAGGUCAAUUCGAUCCAUCCUCACCCAGUAUGAAUGGUACAUAUGGUAAUGGCAGAGGAUUUAAGUUCAAUUCGCGUGAUGCGGAAGAUAUUUUUGCCGAAUUUUUCGGUGGAUCGGAGGGGUAUAGUAGGAGUACUGGUGGUAGUAUACGGAUUCGGAAGGCUGCGCCAGCGGAGAACAAGUUGCCGUGUAGUCUGGAGGAGUUAUACAAGCGUUCUAAGAGGAAAAUGAAAAUUUCAAGGAUUGUUCUUGAUGGCACUGGUAAGCCCACAACUGUUGAAGAGGUCUUGGCAAUUCAUAUUAAACAUGGUUGGAAGAAAGGCACAAAGAUCACUUUUCCAGAGAAAGGGAACCAUGAACCUGGAGCUGCACCUGGUGAUCUUAUUUUUGUAAUAGAUGAAAAGCUACAUGAUGUUUUCAAGAGAGAUGGGAACGAUCUAGUGAUCAAUCAGAAAAUCUCAUUAGUAGAUGCUCUCGCGGGGAAAACUAUCAACUUGACUACUUUCGAUGGAAGGGAACUCACAAUACCAAUCACAGAUGUUGUUAAACCAGGACAUGAACAGAUAAUCCCAAAUGAAGGAAUGCCAAUAUAGAAAGAACCUGGAAAGAAAGGAAAUUUGAGGAUCUAGUUUGUUGUUAAAUUCCCGUCAAGCCUUAGUUCAGACCAGAAAUCUGAUAUCAGAAGAGUAUUGGGCAGAGCUGCUGACUAAACCAGGGUUUAACUUAAAAUUUUACGAUUAUUUAUGUAAAUAUUCGAAAAGCUUGCAUAAAGUUUAUGCUAGACAUAAGACAGGAGAGUUGUGCAUAGUAGGAUUAGUGUUUUGACGAUGCCUCUCAAAGUUUCUUUUAUUUAGCACCAUUAAAGGAGCUAAUAUAGCAGCUACUCCAGCUGCCCACGUAUAAUUCUUACGUCAGAUAUUGAACAUGUUAGGUAGCUUACUGGUUUUAAUGACUGCUGUUUGAUUUGGUGGUAGAUGCUAUAUCGCAAGUAAUUGGAGUUGGGAGUAGCUUGCUAUCUCGUUCGGAUUGUGAAUUUCAUAUGUGGGCCACAAACUGUGGCAGACUGGGUAAUUUCCAAUCAGCUACUUGUUAUAUGUAUGUUCGCAUGCACACACAGAAGGGAGGGGUGUUUGUUGUAUAGAGUAGUUGGAUUUGGAAGAGUGAUUAUAUGAACACAAAACAAGCAAGACAUCUUUCUUAUUCAAACCAUUAUACAACAAUGACAAAAGUGCCUUUAUUGAAGUCAGGAACCAGAGAUUUUUGAGUACGUAGAUAAACAUAAAGGAAGAUAGUGUCGAAGCAAUAAAUAGAUGAAACAACAGUGUUUUUUGGGGGUUUCUUAAGCUCUGUUUAUUUCAAUCAUGUUCUGCAGCCCAACUUUAUCUCCUCCCACAAGUUUAUCAACUAAUUUCCCUUGGUUUAUCAGCAAGAAUGUUGGCAUUGCUUGCACCCCAUAUUUUUGAGCUAUGUCCUGCUUUCAACGAAUUAAUAUAAAGAUUAAAUAUUAGAAGCAAAAAUAAGUAAAAUACAAAUAAACAAUACUUGCUAGCAAAGCAUAAAAUUAAAGCUCAUACAGCCAGUUCAUCCACUUCAAUCUUAAUGAACUCGACGGCUGUAUAAGUAGCAGCAAAGUUAUUGAUAAUUGGCUCCAUGUGUCGGCAGGGACCACACCAUGAAGCUGUGAAGUCAGUAACAAUCUAGCAGUCACACGAAGGAAAAAAAAGAGUCCAUGAUAUUAGUACAACCUAUAAUAUACUUUCUUCCAUUCAACUUGUUUGUCUAAUUUUAAUUUGACAGAAUUUCAAAAGGUAAAAUAGUACUUUUGAAUCUUGUAAUUAACUUUUAAUAUUAUGGUCUUAAACAUGUCAUAUGGAUAGUGUUAGAACCCCAGUCUAAGACAUGAUGGCUGACAAGCCAUGUCAAGGUGUACAUUGGCCUUGACAUGUGCUAAGGCAAGCAAUGUGAUGCUGUGGUGGCUAUGAGAUAGCAGACAACUGAUGAUGACCAAGGUGACUGAAGUGAUGGCAAGGCAGCCUUAGGCACAUGAGGCGAUGACAGACGCAUGACACUUAUGUGGGCAUGCGUGCAGGCAGUGAUAUAGGCAUGACACGACACUAGCAUGGCAUUGGAACUGGCAAUGCAUAGGUGAUGGCAUGGCACAGGCGUGGGCAUUGGCAUGGUCAAAGACAGUGUCACAGUAUAGGCAGUGACAUGGCCGAGACAGCAGCAUGGCGCGUGCAGUGGCAUGAUGCAGACGCAGGCAACGACAUGACAUGAGCAAGGCAAAGCAUGGCUGAGAAGCAUGACAAGAAAAAGAUGAAAUGAUCAAGUGUUGGAAAGCUGGAAAUUGGCUAAGUGUUGAACAUUGGCAAAAUUAGCUAAAGGGGCAAGGCUGGUCAUGUGUUUGUCACAUGGGGCAGUUGCUAAGUUUGAAUUUUGAAUGUUGUAAACAUAUGUGAUUUUCAGAAUGUAUUUGAAUGCUUAGAUUAGGUUGUUGAGUCAUGUGAUAAGCAUGCAACCAUGUCCAAUGACAUGCUGCCAGGUGUCGUUGGUUGUAACUGCUAUAGCUGCCCAUAUUGCAGUCUAUUUAUAGUGUUGCUGGAAAUUGUACAAGGCAGAGAGAGUGUUGUAUGCCUUAGUACAAUUUGUGUAAAGUUAUCCUUUUUGAUUCUAAGAGUAAUAAAAGGUUGGGAACUUGUAUCCUGAAAUUAUGUUGA